UACGAAGGGGGCUAGCGUUGCUCGGAAUCACUGGGCGUAAAGGGGGCGUAGGCGGGUCUUUAGGUCAGGGGUGAAAUCCUGGAGCUCAACUCCAGAACUGCCUUUGAUACUGAGGAUCUUGAGUUCGGGAGAGGUGAGUGGAACUGCGAGUGUAGAGGUGAAAUUCGUAGAUAUUCGCAAGAACACCAGUGGCGAAGGCGGCUCACUGGCCCGAUACUGACGCUGAGGCACGAAAGCGUGGGGAGCAAACAGG
rnacentral:rRNA from 1 species